rnacentral:misc_RNA from 1 species
AACAAGGCGUACCUGCGGACCUGCGGAGGGAUCAUUACUGAGUGAGGGCCUUCGGGCUCGACCUCCAACCCUUUGUGAACACAACUUGUUGCUUCGGGGGCGACCCUGCCGUUUCGACGGCGAGCGCCCCCGGAGGCCUUCAAACACUGCAUCUUUGCGUCGGAGUUUAAGUAAAUUAAACAAAACUUUUAACAAUGGAUCU